AAGUCGUAACAAGGUUUCCGUAGGUGAACCUGCGGAAGGAUCAUUACAAGUGAAGCUACCGAACGCUGGAAACAGUGUUUUAGGGGCUUACACCCACCCGUGUCUACAUACUAUUGUUGCUUUGGCGGGCCGUGAGCUUCCACCGUGGGCUCUGCUCGUGUGUGCCCGCCAGAGGACCAAACUCUGAAUGUUAGCGAUGUCUGAGUACUAUCUAAUAGUUAAAACUUUCAACAACGGAUCUCUUGGUUCUG
rnacentral:misc_RNA from 1 species